rnacentral:lncRNA from 1 species
UGCCGAGUUUCGCUAAGUCAAAUGCACGUGAUGGAAAUAAAGCGAACCUACUAGGGAUAUCUGGCAUGAGGCUUGUUCUUCUAGGUUUAGAUCCUAUUGGAGAAGGUAUCUAGACUGGCUUACUCGAGCGGACAACUCGAGCCGAGGAGGGUCAGUGUACUGGUAGCAUUGCUUUCCGGCUUAACUGGUGGUGCUCCCCGCCAAAAACAGGUGUGACUAAAAUCCUUCACCGGGUGACGAACACCUCGGCUAUCUCAAAGAAAGCGGGCUAUGUCAAGCAAAUGCCUAAUUUUUAAUUUCAAAAAGACUCAGAGGGGGAAACCAGUUUAUAUUUACAAUUCAACAAUAUCAAAAUGAUAAAAAGCGAACAGGUAGCACAUUAGACACAAAUAAAUCACAAUAUUUACAAAAUUAAUAAAGCCAAAUAAAAAGUCAACAUGUACAAGCUCGAAUUCUUAUUGUUUCCCCAGCACAGUCGCCAGAGCUGUCACACCCCUUUUUACCCCUCCAAGAGAUAAGUGUGCAAAAUAUAACGGAUUGUGGGUUAAAGAGCUUUACCAAUUAAAGUGGCAAAAUUUGAAUAGGGAUUAUUUUAUUGUUCAGAGUCGUCACUUAGAAUUGAUUUUUUUUGGUGUUCCAAGUCAACAUUUAUUUGGAUCCCUAGUCAAAGGAAGGUUUGACUUUACUUUAAUCGGUCCGCGAAAAUAAAGUUCGGAUAAGGAAUUCUGUAAACUUGGGAGAAGGUAUAAGGCAUUCCCCGAGUCCCGUGGUUCUAGCACGGUCGCUUUAUUGACUAUAUUUGGCUUAUAUUAUUUAAUUACUCAUUUUAGGACCUAUGUUUAUUUUAUAUUUUACCACUUUUAAUUACUUGAUUACAAAAUCUUGUAACGAGUCACGCGUACAUAUACUCUUUUAGUGCGUCAAAAUCUAUGUCACGCAUACGCAUACACAACUAAUGACACUUGAUUAUUACUAAGAUUGUUUGGUCAAAGUCACUUAAAGGAAUUACAAGUCUUAAGCCUCUUUUCAAUUAAGUCCAAAUCCUUAUUAGUCCAGUGCCGAUAAAUCCCACCGUCUCACCUAAUCUAAAUAUAUUUUAACAAAAUUGCUUAUGUUUUAAAAACGACAAACAUUUUUACAUAUGUUUAAUUCAUUAGAUCUACUGAUUCAGGGCAUUAAGUUGAUAAAAGACAAGAAAACAAACAAUCAUCACAUUUAAAAAAAAACUAAAAUAAACACAUGGCUAAAAGACAAAGAAACAAACAGCAUAUUAAAAAUUGAUGUAAAAAUAUACCUUGUAUUGAUUGAAUCCAAACUUUAAAAUUGCUGGUACUAAACAACCAAACCAAGAGCGACGACCACCACCGGGAACCUCCAAUGGAACAACAUUAUCGGAAGCACGAAAUUGACUGAAAGUGGAGAAGUGUCAGGGCUAUUUCAGGGGUAUUUUAGGCUUGGCUUUGGGUAGCAUUAGAGCUGAUUUUCGGGGUUGUUAGCAGCUGAUCUCUGCUGCUGUUUUAGCGCUGUUGCGACUGGUUUUUGGCUGAUUUUAGAGAUGUGUUAAUGGGCUGAAAAAGGAUGCUGGACAUGGACGAAUUUUUUGCUGGGUUUGAGGAUUGUUUCGCUGUCUUUUGGAGCUUGAAUUUCCAGCUGGUUUGGGUGAGUUUUGGGCGACUUUUGGCUGCCUUUUUGUUGCUUUUUUCAGCAAUCGCAGCAAAUUUCCCUGCUCUUUUUUUGGCCUCUGGG